rnacentral:rRNA from 1 species
GAGUUUGAUCAUGGCUCAGGACGAACGCUGGCGGCGUGCCUAACACAUGCAAGUCGAACGGAGAAUUUCAAAGAGCUUGCUCGGAGAAAUUUUUAGUGGCGGACGGGUGAGUAACGCGUGGGUAACCUACCCAUAAACCCGGGACAACCCUUGGAAACGAGGGCUAAUACCGGAUAAUCUUUGGAAGUGGCAUCACUUCUUAAGAAAAGGUGGCCUCUGAAAAUGCUACCGAUUAUGGAUGGACCCGCGUCUGAUUAGCUAGUUGGUGGGGUAAAGGCCUACCAAGGCGACGAUCAGUAGCCGGCCUGAGAGGGUGAACGGCCACACUGGGACUGAGACACGGCCCAGACUCCUACGGGAGGCAGCAGUGGGGAAUCUUCCGCAAUGGACGAAAGUCUGACGGAGCAACGCCGCGUGUAUGAUGAAGGUCUUCGGAUUGUAAAGUACUGUCUUUGGGGAAGAAUGAGUGGAUUGAAAAUAUUGAUUCACUAUGACGGUACCCAAGGAGGAAGCCCCGGCUAACUACGUGCCAGCAGCCGCGGUAAUACGUAGGGGGCAAGCGUUGUCCGGAAUUAUUGGGCGUAAAGGGCGCGUAGGCGGAUAGUUAAGUCCGGUGUGAAAGAUCAUGGGCUCAACCCUGAGAGUGCAUCGGAACUGGCUAUCUUGAGGACAG